GUAUUAAAGGUGCUGCCUGCCCAGUGAAACAUUUUAAACGGCCGCGGUAUCCUAACCGUGCAAAGGUAGCGUAAUCACUUGUCUUUUAAAUAAAGACUCGUAUGAAAGGCUAAAUGAGGACAAGCCUGUCUCUUACGGCCAACCAGUAAAACUGAUCUUCAAGUACAAAAGCUUGGAUAAAAACAUAAGACGAGAAGACCCUGUGGAGCUUAAAACCUACAAACUGCCAACCACAACCUGGCACAAGUUUUAAGUUGGGGCGACUUCGGAACAAAAUAAAACUUCCGAGCACGGGGCCAAAUACCCAACCUAGACCCACAAGUCAAAGGAAGCCCCUGACCCAGUCUCACUGACCAACGAACCAAGUUACCCCAGGGAUAACAGCGCCAUCUUCUUCAAGAGUCCAUAUCGACAAGAAGGUUUACGACCUCGAUGUUGGAUCAGGACACCCAAAUGGUGCAGCAG
rnacentral:rRNA from 1 species